rnacentral:ncRNA from 1 species
CGGUACGGAGGAUAGAGGAAGCCGUCAGCAGGCGGCUGGUCGAGAAAUUCUCC